UACAGAGGGUGCGAGCGUUAAUCGGAAUUACUGGGCGUAAAGCGCACGUAGUCGGCUUUGCAAGUCGGUUGUGAAAUCCCCAGGCUCAACUUGGGAACUGCGUCUGAUACUGGAUGGCUUGAAUUCGGGAGAGGGAUGCAGAAUUCCAGGUGUAGCGGUGAAAUGCGUAGAUAUCUGGAGGAAUACCGGUGGCGAAGGCGGCAUCCUGGACCGAGAUUGACACUGAUGAGCGAAAGCUAGGGGAGCAAACGGG
rnacentral:rRNA from 1 species